rnacentral:rRNA from 1 species
GAUGAACGCUGGCGGCGUGCCUAAUACAUGCAAGUCGAGCGAACGGACGAGAAGCUUGCUUCUCUGAUGUUAGCGGCGGACGGGUGAGUAACACGUGGAUAACCUACCUAUAAGACUGGGAUAACUUCUGGAAACCGGAGCUAAUACCGGAUAAUAUUUUGAACCGCAUGGUUCAAAAGUGUAAGACGGUCUUGCUGUCACUUAUAGAUGGAACCGCGCUGCAUUAGCUAGGUGGUAAGGUAACGGCUUACCAAGGCAACGGUGCAUAGCCGACCUGAGAGGGUGAUCGGACACACUGGAACUGAGACACGGUCCAGACUCCUACGGGAGGCCGCAGUAGGGACUCUUCCGCAAUGGGCGAAAGCCUGACGGAGCAACGCCGCGUGAGUGAUGAAGGUCUUCGGAUCUUAAAACUCUGUUAUUAGGGAAGAACAUAUGUGUAAGUAACUGUGCACAUCUUGACGGUACCUAAUCAGAAAGCCACGGCUAACUCCGUG